AGCUUGGUGGUGUAGUGGUAGAGCACGCGUUCUCGGAUAGGAUAAAGCGCGGGUUUGAUUCCCAGCUGAGGCCG